rnacentral:lncRNA from 1 species
AUCGUUUGAAAAAAAUAAUAGCUUUUAAAAGACUUCUUCACAUAAAUUCUGCCUAGCGUGAAAAUUUAAAAUAAUAUCCAGAGAAAGUUUCCCAAAACAUAGAGUAAUAUUCAUUAAAAAAUUGUUUUUGGAAAAAAAGCUUACCAGCUAUCAUUUUCACCAGGGUAUCGAAUCGAGAAGAAGAGAUUUGAAGUUUUAGGUACAGCUCCAUAAAACUCAAUGUUUGUGAUGAAGUUCAACAUCCACCUCCACAUUCAAAAUGUUACCUUGACUUCGAAUUUUUAAAAGGAGGAACAGUGUGUGUUAAGAGUCAAGCUAAAAACUACUUCUGACUAGUUUACUCCCAAAAAUUGGCUAGGUACCUUUUUGUUAAACUCGGUCUGUUUAUGGUACUCUUUGUGUUGAAACCGACAGCAGUUUCAAAACAUAAAAUUAUAGUGCAUUUCGUCGUUUGCUCUCAAAUUUGAAUUGUCAAAAUUUACCACACUCUUUGGUUGAGAGGAAUUCAGUAUACGUUUUACGAAACCCUCUACACAUACCCUGUAGAUCCGAAAUUUGUCUUUAGAAAUUCGACAAAUUCGGUUCUAGAGAGGUUUGUGUGGUAUUUUAGACUACCAUCUCACCUCCAGUUGUAUACACCCGUGGAUUCUUUGCACAAGUGAAUUUUCAGAUUCAAACGGCGGCACGCUGAUCAACCACUAAGGAUACAAUUAUUUUAACGCCUGGGAUAUGUUCUUGCCUAUACUCUUUCAAAUGAAGGCAACUUACUUGCUGCACUUACUUCAAACCUCGUUUUAUGCUCGAAGCUUGAUACACACGGCUGCAUUUUUACGGAAAUAUCCGAAAAUCCGUGUUUCCACUACAAGAUCUGGCAUCAUUGGCCGGAGACAUUGCACCGCGGGUCCGCGAAGCGAGUGCAGCGGGGAGCAGUGAGCAGGAUCAUUAGCCGAAUGUGGGUCACCCGGUGAAGGACUAGGCAGAGCUCCUAAUAAAUGAUCACUAAAAAUUACCCUUUGUUGUUUCUCGGGAGUCGGGCACCGUGUGCCUGUGCGUGCCGCGCUGCUCCUUGUUCCACAGAGUGACGGACAAUCAGAAUCGUUCGGAACAUUCGGAAUCGGAAUCAGUUUCACUCGCACGGAUUAUCCCGCCAUUCCCGUUGCCCUUUCAAGGCCCCGGAACACGGGGUGGUCGACAAAG